rnacentral:sRNA from 1 species
AUUUUAAGUGAUCAAAAUAAUAAGGAAACUUAAAUAGGGUUGUUUUAUCGAUAAAAUAAACACAUAGAAUUUAUAUCAACAUUUUCAGAGUUAUUGAAAUUAUGUAUAUUAUAUGUAUAUAUGCAGAAGCGGAUCUAAGAUAAAAAGUUAUAAUUUAAACA